GAUGAACGCUGGCGGCGUGCUUAACACAUGCAAGUCGAACGGAAAGGCUCCUGCUUGCAGGGGUACUCGAGUGGCGAACGGGUGAGUAACACGUGGGUGAUCUGCCCUGCACUUCGGGAUAAGCCUGGGAAACUGGGUCUAAUACCGGAUAGGACCACAUUUUGGAUGGUGUGGUGGAAAGUUUUUCGGUGUGGGAUGAGCUCGCGGCCUAUCAGCUUGUUGGUGGGGUAAUGGCCUACCAAGGCGUCGACGGGUAGCCGGCCUGAGAGGGUGUACGGCCACAUUGGGACUGAGAUACGGCCCAGACUCCUACGGGAGGCAGCAGUGGGGAAUAUUGCACAAUGGGCGCACGCCUGAUGCAGCGACGCCGCGUGGGGGAUGACGGCCUUCGGGUUGUAAACUCCUAUCGCUAGGGACGAAGCGUUUUUGUGACGGUACCUGGAGAAGAAGCACCGGCUAACUACGUG
rnacentral:rRNA from 1 species